GGCUUAGGCCCCGAAGAGAUUGACAGAAGAGAGCGAGCACCUGGCGCGGCGACCGGCAUGGAACGCAUGCCGUCCCCGCCGCGUGCUCGCUUCUCUUUCUGUCAGCCUCUCCCUCGUCCUGAG
rnacentral:pre_miRNA from 1 species